rnacentral:rRNA from 1 species
AUCUCUGAUUAGCUAGUUGGUGAGGUAAAGGCUUACCAAGGCNUCGAUCAGUAGCUGGUCUGAGAGGACGACCAGCCACACUGGGACUGAGACACGGCCCAGACUCCUACGGGAGGCAGCAGUGGGGAAUUUUGGACAAUGGGGGAAACCCUGAUCCAGCCAUGCCGCGUGAGUGAAGAAGGCCUUCGGGUUGUAAAGCUCUUUCAGCCGGAACGAAAAGGUUACGGUUAAUACCNGUGACUAAUGACGGUACCGGAAGAAGAAGCACCGGCUAACUACGUGCCAGCAGCCGCGGUAAUACGUAGGGUGCGAGCGUUAAUCGGAAUUACUGGGCGUAAAGCGUGCGCAGGCGGUUUUGUAAGUCAGAUGUGAU